rnacentral:rRNA from 1 species
AGAGUUUGAUCCUGGCUCAGGACGAACGCUGGCGGCGUGCUUCACACAUGCAAGUCGAACGGGGAUGCAGCAAAAGCUUGCUUUUAUUGCAUCCUAGUGGCGGACGGGUGAGUAACACGUGAGCAACCUGCCCGACAUACUGGGAUAACAGCGGGAAACCGUUGCUAAUACCGGAUACUCCAUUUCUGGCGCAUGUCAGGAAUGGGAAAGGGUUUACCGAUGUCGGAUGGGCUCGCGUCCCAUUAGCUGGUUGGUGAGGUAACGGCUCACCAAGGCUGCGAUGGGUAGCUGGUCUGAGAGGACGAUCAGCCACACUGGAACUGAGACACGGUCCAGACUCCUACGGGAGGCAGCAGUGGGGAAUAUUGCACAAUGGGGGAAACCCUGACGCAGCGACGCCGCGUGAGCGAUGAAGGUCUUCGGAUCGUAAAGCUCUGUCCUUGGGGAAGAAGGCGAAAGCUUGACGGUACCCAAGAAGAAAGCCCCGGCUAACUACGUGCCAGCAGCCGCGGUAAU